rnacentral:lncRNA from 1 species
CUCAUUUUCCACCGGAAGGAGGGAGAAAUUAUGACCGAGAGCCUGACACCUGAUGCUGGCGGCUUUUGUCUCGCCAAGUUGACCCAGUAUUUGGCCACCUUGUGCGGCGGGUGACUAUGGUGUCCCGGUAUAUAUAUGUAUUACCUGAAAGCUGAGGGCAGCUGUUGCCUUGGGUCAUGCAGAGAAUAUGCAGCCACACCCAUGCCUUAGAUGUGUGUAAUUCAAGUGGAGAAGACACAAGCCAGUGGUCGCAAUAUCAACACUUGAGUGUUCUGUAAACGAUUAAUGUUUGCCAUGUGCAAGGAAAUGGCAGAGGCAAAAUGCUGCCAGCUUAUGGAAAAAUAAUUUAUAAAAAAAUGAUGGGUUAGUUCUGCCAAAUUUGAGUAAGUGAGAACACGAGAAACCAUAUUCUGUUAGAGCCUGAGAAAAGGAAGGAAAGUCAAACGGUGAGUCUAACCUCAUUUAUUCCAGGAUUGGUGUCAGCAGAAAACCAACAGUGAUGUGGUGGCACACAGUGAACUGACCAGACCCAGGCAGCAGCGGCUCUUUUGGUGGCAAUGGUGCCACGUCAUGGGUACUCUCCUUGCUGAUGGCAGAUACCGACAGGCAAACUGUUGCCUUGCGUUUAGCUCUGUUAACCAUUGACAGCAAGGUAAGCAUGUCUUCAGCGUUCAUAGCU